GAGGCUUUAGCUUAAUUAAAGUGUCUGAGUUGCAUUCAGGAGAUGUGUAUUAAAGUUGUGCAGGCCUUC
rnacentral:tRNA from 1 species